CUCGUAGGUGGUUCGUCGCGUCCGGUGUGAAAGUCCAUCGCUUAACGGUGGAUCUGCGCCGGGUACGGGCGGGCUGGAGUGCGGUAGGGGAGACUGGAAUUCCCGGUGUAACGGUGGAAUGUGUAGAUAUCGGGAAGAACACCAAUGGCGAAGGCAGGUCUCUGGGCCGUUACUGACGCUGAGGAGCGAAAGCGUGGGGAGCGAACA
rnacentral:rRNA from 1 species